AUGAGCUGGAGAAGUUGGCCGUAUAACGUAACACUGACCGUCGUUUUCCGCACUACGUGUAUUCUGGGGUUGGGGAGCUGGUUUUGCAGCGCUGAAGGCGCAGACCUAACCGCCCUGCAGACCGCAGACCGACAACAUUCGGCGGGACCUCACUUCUGUCAGUGCUGCAGAGCCGUGUGUACGCACACCCCGAGUGCCACUCACGAGCUCCCAGCGAGCCGGGGGAGCACGCCGUGUAACACGGACGGUGUGAGGCGGCCGCCGUGCCGCUGGCACGGAUCCCCGCACACGGCUGCAGCGCGACUCGGCACGGAGAGGGACGCGCAGCGCUGUGACAGGCGGGAGGAGAUGCACGCAGGGCCGGCAGCGAGGCGGAUUAAUGGGGACGGAUGGCAAAGCUCAGCGCGAUUAAACCCCACGGUGCGCCAAAUCCCCGCUACGAACGCGCUUACCGCGGUGCCGCAGCCCCUCCGCGGCGCGCAGAGCCCCCAUCCGCGGCUCCUCGGUGGCCCCGGCCCCCUCCCCGCUCUCGGGCACACCGAACGGCCCGGCCGCCAACGCGCUCCCCUCUGCUUACCUCCGGGCAGCGCGGCUCCGGGCAGGCAGCCCGCCUCCCGCCCGCCUCCCCGCCGGCAGCACCGGCCCGGGGGCGAUGCCCGCCGCCUGCCCACCCGCGGGCCCGGCGCUGCAGAGCAGCUCCGCGGAACGCCGGAGCCUGCGGCGGCGGCGGGGGGAGCGCGGUGGGAGGAGGGAAAGAGAGAGAGGCGGAGGGGCGCUGCCGGGCGCUGCAAAUGGCUGAACGCCGGAGCCCGCGCCGCGCAGAAGCUGCGCUCGCCCCGGGGGCCGCACCGCGCUCGGCCCCUUUGUUUCCCGGCUCAGCCGCGCACACACGCGUACGGAGCGGGAGAAAGCAGCUCCCCCGGCGCUGACCUGUUGCGCGUGGCGGGGAGCUCUGGGACGAGCCGCUGCCGGGGCGGGAACCGCACAGCCGGGAGCGGCCCCACCUGCCCGCGCGGAGGGAACUCCCUGACGGAGGCGGCCUCCGGAGGGGAUGGGGCCCGCGGGCGGUUCGCUGUAACGCCGCUCCCGCCGCGGGGCCGGGCCCCACCUGCGAGCCGCCGCCGCCGCGGGAGCCCUCCCCUCAGCUUCUGGGCUGAUGGGUCAGCGGGAGCUUCCCUGCCCCUGCUUUUCUGUCGGCUGAAACAGCUGGACAGGGGCCAGGUGGUUUCCAUUUGGCUGUAA
rnacentral:lncRNA from 1 species